GUUAAACAGCCGAAUCUAGGGGUAAUAUCGCUACUGGAAGAUUUUUCUUCGCUUUCUCAUAAUACUGGCAGCGUCCUGCAACUGGCUAUUUUGCUUUACAGUAAGAAGGGUGUUUUUCCUCCUCUGACAGAUCAAUGUUUUCUCCUGAGGAAAAAAAAAGGAGGAAGAGCCUGUCCUGGAUGUCUGAGGGAGGAAUAAACGUAGAGCUUAAGAAAAAUUUUGUGGAUGAAAUUUUCACACAGUUGUUUUUCCAGUACUGAAAGGUUUUGACCUUUCAAUAGAGAACUGAUUCUGGAGAACAACUUACUUCUGUAAUUGAAAAAUUCUCUCUGGAAAGCUGAUGGAGCAUGAGAAUGGAAAUCUAAGAACACAGAACAAAACGAGGAGAAGAAGUGUGCAAUAAUACUCUACAGAUGCAAGAAUCCUUGAAGACACACGCAGCUGUGAGGACCAAGUUUUCUAGGAUUCAUUGUUCUGUACUAAAGUUCAAUUUUUGGCUUUUCACCCAAUUGUAUAUCAGACUAUGCAGCAUUAGACUACAAAAUGACAAUUUGAAGAGGCUUAUGCUUCCAUACAGUAAAAACAUAAUGGUAAUAUAAUGGUUGAAAAAGUAGCAUACCCUGAAAGAUUACUUGCUGCAAGAUAUUGACUUGAUUCAGACAACAUACCAAUCUGACUAGCUGGAGUGCUUGCAAAUCAGUGGAAAUGGCCAAGAACGAAGCAAAUUAGAAGGACAGUCGGAUUAAUCUUGGUUAUCUUACUUCCCAGUUUCCAGGCAGUGCACACUAAAUGCACACAAAGCAGGGUGUUAUGAGUUUUUCAUUGGUUCAAAAAGCCUUCACUCAGGGUUUUGCAUUUAGACUCAUAGACUAUCAGAGUUGGAAGGGACCUCAGGAGAUCAUCUAGUCCAACCCCCUGCUCAAAGCAGGACCAAUCCCCAAAUUUUUUUGCCCCAGAUCCCUAAAUGGCCCCCUCAAGGAUUGAACUCACAACCCUGGGUUUAGGAGGCCAAUGCUCAAACCACUGAGCUAUCCCUCCCCCCCAAGUAUUAAAAGGCACAAUGUGAACAUUGUAGAAGAGUUCAGAAGGGAUGUUAAAGUAAUUAUUUACUGGAUUUAGUCUUUAUAUGCCUGGUUUUAAAUUGACAAAGUGAAUGAGGUAAUAUCUUUUAUUGGACCACUUCUGUUGGUGAGAGAGAGAGAGAAGCUUUCCAGCUUACACAGAGAAGAGUUCUUCCAUUGACCUAGCUGUUGCCUCUUGGAGAGUUGGAUUUACUACAGUGGCACAGCUGCAGUGCUGUAGCAUUUCUAGAGUGGACAUACCCUAGCACUUUAACUUCCACUGGCUUGCCCCUCUAAAUUGAAAAACAGACCACCUCUUUAAAUGAGUGGCUUCAAGGGCAUCUCUGGCAACAUGAUUUUAUUAGUCAUACUUCCAAAGGAUGGGGUCAUCAGAGGUAUGGGCCUUUGUGUGGACACCUCUGACUUCCAGCAGAUCUCAGAGACUUGAAGAUUCUGGGGCCUACGCCUCUGGGUGGUUCUUGCAGGGUGUAAUGCACUCUUCUACCUCAACUCUCCCCACUCAAAAAAAAUUCCAAGGAAACAUCAUAAGUAGAAAAAUGGAAGCUUCCUGUUCUUUCACAGUUGAUGAUGUCACCCUAUGUUGGAAAGAUUUUACACUUACCAGUUCUCAGCCUAAAAAUUGCUUUUAGAAAAUGUCGUAUAGAAAGGUUCUGCGAAGAGUGUAGUGUGACUUUAGAGUUGAGUAAAUACCUAACAUAGCAAAAACCUUCCAAAGCCUAAAAACAAGGCAAUUACAUUGAAUUUGGCCAGUACCUGAUCAUUAGUAAGAAAUGUGUUUCCAAAGGAAUUAAAUGUUGGCAGUAUUUAGCUAUUUUGAAUGUUUCUUUUGAUCUUUUAAAUAAAUUGGUAGCCAAUGGGCAUGAGUUUAUUUGGUUUAGUGGAGAACCCCUUUGCCACCUUUGGCCAGGUAGGUUUAAGUAAAUUUACUUUAUGAGUGGUUCAUUCCCUGAUCUGCAUCAACACUGUAACUCUUGGAGUGAAGGCUUUCUAUUUCCCCUCCCUUUCCUUCCUCAGUGUAUGAUUAGCUCAAUAUCUUCAGGUAGAAAUUUUCUACCGUGGCACACUAUUGCAGUUAGGUGCAUUUUGGUUUCAUUUUCACAGAGAGACUGUGUAGUCAGACCUCCUGUAUAAUCCAGCAUUAGUCACUGUAACAGGAUAACUGAGUAGAUGCACCAUUGGUCUUCAUCAGGGUAACAAGUCUUAAGACACCAUUCUUAAACACCAGAAAAUAAUGGAAACAGUGACAGGCCUUAGAAUCAAUCUACUAUUAGGAGGGCUUUGCUGGUUUAUACCAGUAUAGGUAAACUGGCAAAACCUUCCUAGUAAAGAUGCAGUUAUAUCUUUAUACUUGUUUCCUGAUUAGUAUAAGCACUUUUAUACUUUUAUAUGUGCCUAUACUAGAGCUUUUACCAGUAUAGCUGUAUUGGCAAAAAAAAAAAUCACACUCCUAACUAACAUAGCUAUGCCAGCAAAGCUUUCUAGUGUAGACCUGCCCUGAUGCUCCUAGGAGGCAAGUGGGUAAGGGAAAAUGACACGCGCACAAAUAUUUUCUGUAAAUAAAAUGGAAGAAUUUGCACUAUGUUUCCUUUGCCAGUGGUUCUGUUCCAUGUGAGGCAUGUUUUUUCUUCCCAGCCCUCAGUUUGCAGUCAUGGACUAUUCCAUCUCAAACUACCGAAGGCCAGGUCUACAUCAGAAACUUUCACUAGUAUAGUAACGUUAAUUAGGGGUGUGUAUGUUUUGACACUUCUAUACCAGCAAAAGCCCUAGUAUAGAAGCAACAAGUGCUAUUGCCAGUAUAGCUUAUUUUAUUUGGGGAACUGGUAUUAAUAUACCAGUGAAAAUACUUUGCCAAUAUAAGCAGUGUCUAGAGACUCUAGAGUAAGAGAGUUUUUUUUCUACACCUUGUCUAGUGUAGACUAGACCUGAAUGAGAGCCAGCACUCUUAUUUACUCUUGUGGGUUUUUCCUAAAGGGGUUGGGCUGCUUAAACUACCCCCAUCGCCGUGCCCAAGAGUAUCUCCUGUAAAUGCUAAGGUGGUAUCCCUUUUGAGAUAUGAAUUACAGUUUCUUGCUCACCUCUUCAAACUGACAGUUGUACUUAACCUUGAUUUUAACUUCUGGUAUUGUUAAAGAUGACCCUGAAAUUAUACCAAUAUCAAAAAGAUUUCCAUUCAAGGGAAAGAAGAAACAUAAGUUUGGGGAUUUUUUUUUAAAUGUUCUUUUAAUGUGAAGAUGAACUGAAGUUUUCACAUUAGAGAGAUCAGACUUAACUUCUAAUCAGAGAACUAUCCGCACCAUUUAAUUAGUCUGACAAGGAUCUGAAAUUUGGACCAUAAAGUUAUUGUGUGCUAACUUGACAGGAAGAAAGUCCAAAGCUGACCUUAAUUGUAAGUGGAAUAUUGGUCCACUACUAAAAGUAGAUGUUAAUGAAGGAUUUGUAAUGUAUUAAAAUAGCUAAUGUCAAUUCUGUAAAAUUAAUGUUAAAGUUAAACAAGAAAAUAUGGGGUUUGACUUACAGCUUAUGCUUUCAUUCCUUUGAUGUUUUGUAGACACCUUGGGCUAACGUAGCAGCACAUAAUGGUUUGUGGGUUUUGAAAAGGUGCAGGCCAUAUUGUGCUGCCUCAAAAAUGCAAGGAUUUCAUCCUCCUGAAGAGAAAUGUCACUUAUGAAUUAACAUGAUCCUGAUGUCAGCAGUACAUUAGCAGCACGUAAAUAUUGGCGUUAACUCUGUAAAUAUCUCCAGUAUUAACUGUGCUGCUGAAGUAAAGUUGGCCAUUCUCUGCAAAUGAUCCUAAGGAAGUACGUUGAUGUUGUCCGACUUAUCUCCUGAGUGUGUUAAUUUAUGUAAAAAAAUGAACUUUAAUAAAUCUUACUGUUUUUGUUCUAUAGUUUGAUCAGUUCAGUACAGAUUUUUAGAACCACAUAGAAUCUGGCAGUAAAUCUAGAACAUUUCCUUGAACACUGAAUUUAUUGUAGGAACUGUCUCAGACUACAGCCUUCUUCAUAAACAUUUAUUAACAAUUUGUUCACGUGAUUAUUGCACAAACUUAAAUUAGUUUAAAUAUCUGCAUGACUUUAGUAAAGCUAAUGAGAUUAAAAUUGUUUUGUUUUACUUUCACAGCACUUCCUAUACCGAUACAAAUUUAAAAUAUAUUUUGUCAAUUGUUCUACAAGUUCAUCAGCUUUAGCUAGAAUGACUUCAGAAACUCUUUUGAACAAAAGAGGCAGUGAAAAGUUAAUUAUUCUAAAAUUAUUUCUUGCAUUAUAGUAGCUAUAAAUAUGUAAAAAAAAAUUAGUUUAAAAAGUAUACUCUCUACAAUUGAUUGCAAUAUAACUAAUUUUCUCAUCUUCUACUAAAACAUUUCUUCUUCAGAGGAGUAUUGCAUUGAGACAACUGAAUCUGCCACAGUAAGGAUGGAAAUUACAUGAGUUUUUCCUUUUCUUACAUGCAGCUUUUAACUGUGUGUCCAAGAUCCAUGUUCUCCCCUAAGAUCACAGAAUCAUAGGACUGGAAGGGUACUCGAGAGGUUUGCUAGCCCAGACCCCGCACUCAAGGUGAGAGUAAGUAUUACCUAUACAUUUACUAAAUCAGAAACCAAAGACAAAGUAAAAAUAGCUUUUAAGAUAUAUAUAAUUGACAAGCAAUCAUUAAAACAAGCUAUAGUUAUACCUUCCCAUUGCUUAUAAUUGAAGAUUGAGAUAGCUAAAAUUUAUUUACAAAUCAGGGCCCAGAUCCUCACUGUGUCAAGUUCUGCUUGACAUAGCAGAAAAGAGUGGAGGCAAAGGUGGUUUUAAAUCUCUCACUAUCCCUGGACCCAUUGUGGGGAAGACCAGUCUCCAGCAAAAUUUAGAGUAGCCUUCUGGCUGCUCUAAAUUUUGCCCAACAACAGUGACUCCCAAUAGGCUGUUCUGCAGCCAGAGGUCACUGGGUACAACAUACUCUGGCCAUAUUCCCUCCCACCUUCCGCAUGCUCUCUGUGCCAGUGGGGACUUGCAAUCUUCCUCCCCAAAUAGUGCUGCAGCAGGAUUGAUGGGGGCUAUUUUGGGCAAAGGAAAUGGCAAACAACCUUGUGUGGGCAAGGAUUACAAUUUCUUUCUACUCUGUGGAGUGCCUAGUUACUCUGAUUCUUUAUUUCCUAAUCCACAAUUAGACUGCUCCAUAACUUGUGGUUAUUUGUUUUCCUUAAUGUUAUCAUGGAAAAUCCAAGUAAUCUGUGUUCCUUUCAAAUAUUUUUAAAAAGUUAGAAAGCACAGUUUACCCUGGAAUCUGUGAUGCUAUUACCCCAUCCAUUUAUAUUUAUCCUGCACAUUACCCUAUUGUUAAAAAUAUUCUCAAUCAAUUUCCUCAGAAACUGUGGUGUGACUCUGGUCUACAGUGAAGGUGACCUUUACGUCCUCUUCUGAGGAUGGUUAACUAUGAACAAUUGUCCAAUCUUGAGGAAUAUUUGGUGUUCUUAGGGAUAAUUGAAAAAUCUUUAUCAUGGUCUCCACGUUUUCACAUUUUAUUUCUUUCAGAGCUCUUGGAUAAAUAGCAUGUACUCCUGGAGAUUUACUGCACUUGAGUUUCUCUAGCUGCCCAUAACCUCUUCCUUAGAGACCUCCAGGUCUGUUAAAGCUAUACUCUAAUUUCCCGUAAAACAUGCCCUUGGGAUAUUAAUUUCUCUAUUGCCUUCUAUAUUAAAAACAAAUGAAUUAUUUGCAUUAAACUUCUGUAUAACUUUUCCAUUCUCUUUCAUUUCCCCCUUUGGUACUAUAUAGGACCUAAGGAUAGACAAAAAGCUUUCUUGAAUGAAACGUCUUUAAAAAAUCUAUUAUUUUCCUUAAUAUCUUUGGUUAUUUGUUCUUCAUAUUGUAUAUUUUCCCUUUUAAUUCCUGGGUCCAAUUUCUAGGUUUGACUAGGGCAAAAAGAAACAUUUCUUCACUUCCACAUGAGAAUGAAGCGUGAUGUGGAUGAAAAUUAUUCAUAUAGUGCCUGUUAUUAAAUGUUGAAUGGGUAGCUCUGAAUAAAGGUAAGGUUGCACAGCACUUUCCAUUAUAAGACGACCCUUAUUUCAGUGGUUUGUAACAUUGUUAAACUUUAACCAGUCAGGCUGAAGUUUCCCAUGUUGGGUGUCUGUCUCUGACUGAAUUUUUAUUUUAAAGUUUCUGCAAAACAGUUCAGCCAUUUCCAAUAAUAAGAUUAGAGGAAAAUAUUUUGUUUUGAGUGCCACAGUUACUGGUCUAACUGCACCUCUGAUGCCUCCUGGUCUCUUCGAGUGCACCCACUCUCAGGUCUCAGGCCUCACAUCACCACCUUUCUUGGGACAGAAUCACACAAUUCUCCCACUCUCAGAUUGAGUCCUGGCUACAAUCCCCUGUGAUUACCUCAGGAGGUCUAACAGACUCAGACCCUUCAGUUCUGUUCACUCCAAGAGCAUGACAGUAGUAAUAAGUAGCUAGGAAGCCUUCGUAAAGCAGAGUAUUAUUUAUUAGAAAAAAAGCAUUUCAAAUAAAACACAUUUUAGAAACAAUAAACCAGUCUAUACCCAUGCCUGAUUUUCCCUUUCGCUUACUGUUCCCUGGAUCUGGGAAAGCCCAGCUUCUUCAGGCUCCCUCCAUAGAGACUCUCCCUGCAUCAGACUGUCUCCUCGGUCAGUCUUGGUCAACUGACCACCGUUCUUCUCCUGAGAGGGGCUUUUUAACUGUUUGAUGUUCUUUUGAUCUCUAGGAACACAGCUUUGGUAAAACAAGGCUUGCAACUUGUUAGAGACAAGAUCCAGGAUCCUUGAAGCUAACAGGUUAUCCCGUUGUCUUUCAAGUGUAUGCGUGGAUGCUUCCAUCUGGUACUGGAGUCUGAAGGACUUAGACACAUGGUUGGAUGUUUACCUGAGCAUUUCCAUUGUGACAUCAAGAUUUUGGCAGGAUUUCACUAUGCUCAUAGGUCAACACUGCUGUUUCCCCAAAGGGCUCUGUGGUGCCUUAAUUUGCAAGACACAAUUUGUGGGUGAGAGAGACACGGGGGGAGGUGUGCACAUGGGUUUUACACUAAUCUAGCUCCAGUCUCCAGGGGCAUUCUGUCUGGGGGCAUAGACAAUGGAAUGAGUGUGCUGGAAAGCAGUGCGGGCCAUUUUUUCAAGCUGGAGCAUGUGCUUCACCGCACAGCUGCUGCAGUCUGCUAACCUGUGCAGAAGAGGAGUAAAGCCAGGGCAUUCAAACUAACAGCCCUGUAGUUUAAACAGCAGGACACUGGCCACAAGGCAUUCUCCGUAAGGGGUCUAUGAAUUAUAACUUAUUUCCUUUUUUAGUCCACUGGAUUUGGUGGCCCUCUUGGUAUGCAGCAAGAUUCGUCUAUUCCCCCCCAAAAUGUUGAGAUGGGAAGGCGGUUUGGGGGAUAGAGGGAUGUUCAUGCCUAGAUUAGCCAAUCCGCACUCAAUUUACUUGCACAAGACUCCUGAUCUCAAAGAGGCCCUGACCAGCUUUGGGCCUAGGGUUGCCACCUGGUCCGUUUUUAAAGGGUCCGGACAGUUUUUCUCCUUCAUUGCUGGUUGCAAUGUUCCUUUUUUCCUUACUUGUAAUUUACAAGUUAUUUGUAAGUUAUAAGUCAGUAACAUCUCCCUCCCCAUUGAAACCAGCAACAGCUGCUGCGCACAUGAGGUGGGGGGGGCGCACCAGCAGCUGCUUUCACUAUGGCAUGCAGGUCACAUAACUGCUGGGAGCACUCCUAGAGUGGCACCUGCAUUCCGCUCCAUAUGCCAGGCCCUCAACCUGCUGGCACGGCCGCUGAGGCUUCUGCUCCUCUCCUUGCCGGAAAGCAGGACACACCCUGUAAUGGCAUGCUAAAUUGUAUUUUUCUGUUCAGCCACAUGUAAUAUACCUUAACAAGCUCGCAACAGCUGAGCCAUUCUUGGCAGUACAUUAAAGGGUCUUAUCAUGAACAGAACUUAGAGGGAAUCUCUGUGACCAGUCCAUAUCUGGUACAGAAAGCUGACCUGUUAGUAGCAGCCCUGCAACCUACUGUUUAUACGGUGUACAUGACAUGGAGUCAGAAGCAAACUAGUGCCACAGUGAACAGAAACAGAAGGAACAAAGCAAUAAAGGUUGCAAACAGAAGGAGGGGAAAAAGCAACAAAUUUUGCAAGAUUUCAUUAACAUCCCACUGUUCAAUGCUCCAGAGAACUUCAGCUGUGAUAAACCUUCCCAAUGGAGAGACUGCAAACAGUAUUUUGCAAGAUUUCAUAUUACAACCAAACUCCAAAAGGAAACUGGAGAUAUUCAGGGGCCAAAUGAUGAAAAUGCCUUCAAAAAGAUAAAACUAAUAAUCUCAACAGCUCCAGUUCGCAAGUACUAUGAUGUGAACAACCCACAAGGGCCAGCAAGGAUGCAAGCAGCUAUGGCCUAGGUGGUAUACUGUGUUCCCUCUGAGGUGCGUGGCUGCACAGGAGUCCAUCAAAGGCCGCACAUACAGUACUGAUAUUUCCUCAUAUGGAAGUUUUCCCAUGACUUUCUCACAUAAUCCGAUGAAGUCACAAUGGCUCCCAGAUCUCAGCAUUACCUCGAUAUUUGUGCUGCACAUAACAAAAUUCAUUCUGCACAUGGAUGGAAAAAAUUAGAGGGAACAUUGGUGGUGUAUUGUUGCAACAACAUUGAUUUGAGUUAAAGCCAAUUAUAUUUUACUCUCAUACACUCACAGAAGCAUAAAAAUAAUAUAGACAUAUUGAAAAAGGAGUGACUGGCAAGCAUAUGGGCACGUGAGAACUUUUUUUCAUAUAUCAGUAUGGAUUAGACUCUUAUACAUCGAUAACAGACCAUAUACUGCUUUAACCCUCAUCCAUGGAAAAAUCCUGAAUCAAACACGAUGGAGACAUCAAUGUCUUUUGAUAAAGUUAAUGUGAUUUAACCCAUUUGCUAAAUAUGUUGCUGGGAAAAAUCUGGUGGUAGCAGACACUGUCACGGAGCCCAGCAUCUCAUUCAACUACCUGUGAACUAGAAGAUGAUGUAAAGCAGACAUGGAUGCUAUGGACACAUACACACCAGGAUCAGAAAAGAGACCACGCCAGCUACAACAAGCAACCCUGAGACAUACACACAACUUUUAAGAAGUUCUAAGUUACAUUAGGCUGGCCCAAGUAUCUAAAGGAGACUAAGGAAGUGACAAGAGACCACUUUGUGGUACGUGGACAAUUAAGUGAUUCAGAUGGACUCAUAAUUAAAGGUGACUGCAUCAUAAUUCCAAAUGAAAUGAGGAGAAAUCCUAAAUCUUUAUAUCUUUCAUGGAUCAGGACUAACUAAAUGGGCUAACUAGUCAGUGUGGAAGCUGGGCAUCAGCAAGGACAUAAAGAAUGAAGUAUCUGCAUGUGAACAUUGUUUGCAUUGUGUUGGUCUGUUAGUUCUGCAAUCUUUGAUAACAGCACCUCUACCAGACUGACCAUGGAAGACACUAGCUGCAGAUGUAUGCAGAUUCAGAGGAUAUCAUUACUUGGUAGUAGUGAACUUUUUUCGGGUAUAUAGAAAUAACAUACUUGAAAGACAUAACAUGUUGCAGUGUUAUUGAGAAACUGAAGUGCACUUUUGCUCACUUCAGCAUUCCAGAACAACUAAUAACAAACAAUGGACCACAAUUCAUUGCAGCAGAACUUGUCAUUCCGAACAAAAUAUGAUUUUGAUCUUAUUACUAGCAGCCCACAUUACCCAAAAGAAAAUGGAAAAGCUGAGAGAGUUGUUCAGGCAAGAAACUCCUACGGCAGGAAGAUCCAUUUCCUUGCUCUUCAGAGCUAUAAAUCAAUGCCAAUAGUAGUUACUGGAUAUAGUCCAGCACAACUCCUGGUGGGAGAACAACUCCGAACUACUGUUCCAGUUUUGGUAAAGAACCUAUCUACAAAGUGGCCAGCCAUGAAGAAAGCUGCCAAAUUAGAUUAAAAGGUAAAAAGAGCUUACAAAUGCUUUGGCAUUAGAUGUUACUCAGAGAAAUGCCAGGUCUAGAACCUGGUGACCAUGUUUGUGUUAAACUGGAUGGAGAAAAAGGAUGGAGAACUUCAGCUGAUGUAAAGAAAAAGAACUGACUGCCCAGGUCAUAUGUGAUAAAGAUCACCAGUGAGGAGCUAAACAGAAAUCUUUGACAUCUACAGUGUGUUCCUCAGAAAGAACAAUUAACCUGUAGAAAACUCUACAGAUGGUGGAUGCAGAAGAAGAAGAAGACUCAAAGAUUCCAAACCAACCAGAAACAGUCUUUGCAACUGAUAGACAGCCAGAUGACUGAGUUGUUACACAUUUGGGUCAUCUCAUUAGAAAACCAGCAUGAUUCAGAGACACUUAAUAGACUGAUCCAUAUUGAAUUUUAAGAUAGUAUGAUAUUGUAAAUGGUAGAAAUGUCAUACAGUAGAACCUCAGAGUUACAAACACGUCGGGAAUGGAGGUUGUCCAUAACUCUGAAAUGUUCAUAACUCUGAACAAAACAUUAUGGUUGUUCUUUCAAAGUUUACAACUGAACAUUGACUUAAUAAAGCUUUGAAACUUUCCUAUGCAAAAGAAAAAUGCUGCUUUUAACCAUUUUAAUUUAAAUGAAACAAGCACAGAAACAGUUUUCUUACCUUGUCAAAUCUUUUUUUAAACUUUUUUUCAUAGUUUACAUUUAACACAGUACUGUAAGGUACAGUAUCUGCUAUAUUUGUUUCUGCUGCCUGAUUGUGUGCUUCCAGUUCCAAAUGAGGUGUGUGGUUGACCAGUCAGUUCAUAACUCUAAUGCUCAUAACUCUGAGGUUCUAUGGUACUUAAAGGGGGAGAUGUAAUGGAAUGCUAAAUUGUACUAUGCUGCUCAGAGACUAGGUGGAACCAUGUUUAACAGACUUUACCAUAAGCUCACAACACCCAUUCCUGGCAGUGUAUUAAAGGAUCUUAUCGUGAACACA